GCUAAGAUGGCUGCCGUUGAGUACGGGAGUGUCCUUCGAUCCACACUUUAGAUUAGCCCGUUUGAGGACGGCAUCCGGGUCCUUGAAGUAUACUCCUUUCGCCGGAUCUUACUCAAAUUUUGGCUAAUCAGAGUCUCUCCAUUUUCCACCAUACCUCGGUCGUCAAGGAGACGACCAUGCUGCUGUUUUGAUUGACAGCUCGUCAUCAGUGCUGGCCCUCGAAGUCGGCCCCUUGGGGCGGUCGGCUGGCGUUGAGGACCUAUUUGAGGCCACCCUGGUUCACCCUGGUCUCAGUGGCAGCCCCUCUCCUCAGCUUCUCCUACAGACCAGAUGCUUCUACUCUCUAGGGCUGCCUGAGCUCACUGUGUUUAGCGGUGGUUGCCAUGGCAGCAGAGCUGACUCAGGACCAGGUGUCGUGGACCAGGAGAGAAGGGGAAAAUGUCUCCUUCAGAUGUACAGACACUGACCAGUGUGGUCUUAUCUACUGGUACCAGAAGAAAGAGGGGGAAACGUUAG
ensembl:lncRNA